UACGUAGGGUGCGAGCGUUGUCCGGAAUUAUUGGGCGUAAAGAGCUCGUAGGCGGUGUGUCACGUCGGCCGUGAAAACCUGCAGCUUAACUGUGAGCGUGCGGGCGAUACGGGCAGACUAGAGUACUGCAGGGGAGACUGGAAUUCCUGGUGUAGCGGUGGAAUGCGCAGAUAUCAGGAGGAACACCGGUGGCGAAGGCGGGUCUCUGGGCAGUAACUGACGCUGAGGAGCGAAAGCGUGGGGAGCGAACAGG
rnacentral:rRNA from 1 species